rnacentral:lncRNA from 1 species
UCCCUUGGGCUGUGAAAAGGCCACCUUGGGGGCUGCACACUGCUCUGUGGGCUCCCUGAGGGUCCUCCCCUAGUUAUGGCAGCUGGAUAGUCACAAAGGGCUCAGAAGUGCCCUGUACGGGGUUCAUUUUCUGCUGUUAACCAUCUUGUAAUUCUUUUUUCUCCCUUUUUUAAACAGAGCUCUCACUCUGUCACCCAUGGGCAUGAUCUCCGCUCACUGCAACCCCCACCUCCUGGGUUCAAGAGAUUCUCCUGCUUCAGGAGAAUCCCAAGUAGCUGGGAUUAUGGGUGUGCACCACCAUUCCUGGCUAAUUUUUGUAUUUUUAGUAGAGAUGGGGGGUCUCAUCAUGUUGGCCAGGCUGGUCUCGAAUUCCUGAUCUCAAGUGAUCUGCUCACCUUGGCCUCCUAAAGUGCUGGGAUUACAGGCGUGGACCACUGCACCCAGGCCGUCUUGAAAUUCUUGGUAACAUUUCAACAAGGGGCUCUGCAUUCAUUUUCCCCAGGAUCCCAAACUUCAUGUGGACAUCUGCCAGCAGCGCACGCCUUUGGAGCCCCCGUCAUGUGCCCAGCUCUGUCCUAGGCUGGCCACACACACUGCCUCCUUGACUCCUGCCAGCCAUCUGUUACAGGCAUGGUCAUUCUGCAGAUGGGGAAACUGAGACUCAGAGAGCUCCUGAUUCAGGCACUACCAGGCCGUUCAGGUGUCUUCGCUCAUUCAUGCAGCAACUUCAAGCACCUACUAUGUGCAGGGGGACACAGAGGUAACAAAAGACAACACAGUCCUUGCUCUCAAGGAUCCAGCAGUGAUCCCAAGGACAACAACACACGCCAGUUCAGGUCUAUGUCCCUGUAAUAAGCAUGAGAAUGGACUAAUACAGUACUCCAGCCUGGGCAACAGAGCAAGACCCUGUCUCUAAUAAUAAUAAU